rnacentral:tRNA from 1 species
GUGAGCGUAGCCGAGCGGUUAAGGCGCCAGGUUGUGGCCCUGGAGAUCGUGGGUUCGAAUCCCACCGUUCACCCCA